rnacentral:rRNA from 1 species
UACGAAGGGGGCUAGCGUUGCUCGGAAUCACUGGGCGUAAAGCGCACGUAGGCGGCUCUUUAAGUCAGGGGUGAAAUCCUGGAGCUCAACUCCAGAACUGCCUUUGAUACUGGGGAUCUCGAGUCCGGAAGAGGUGAGUGGAACUCCGAGUGUAGAGGUGAAAUUCGUAGAUAUUCGCAAGAACACCAGUGGCGAAGGCGGCUCACUGGCCCGAUACUGACGCUGAGGCACGAAAGCGUGGGGAGCAAACAGG